GACGAACGCUGGCGGCGUGCCUAAUACAUGCAAGUCGAGCGCUGAAGGUUGGUACUUGUUCCAACUGGAUGAGCAGCGAACGGGUGAGUAACGCGUGGGGAAUCUGCCUUUGAGCGGGGGACAACAUCUGGAAACGAAUGCUAAUACCGCAUAAAAACUUUAAACACAAGUUUCAAGAUUGAAAGAUGCAAUUGCAUCACCUAAAGAUGAUCCCGCGGUGUCUUAGCUAGUUGGGUAGGUUAAGGCCCUCCAAAGCGAAGAUACAGAGCCCACCCGGGGGGGUGGUCGGCCACAUUGGGACUGAGACACGGCCCAAACUCCUACCGGGAGCAACAAUAGGGGAUCUUCGGCAAUGGACGAAAGUCUGACCGAGCAACGCCGCGGGAGUGAAUGAGGUUUUCGGGUCGGAAAACUCUGUUGGUAGGGAAGAACGUUGGUUGGAGUUAAAAGCUCAUCAAGUGACGGUAACUACCCAGAAAGGGACGGCUAACUACGUG
rnacentral:rRNA from 1 species